UUAAGCGACUAAGCGUACACGGUGGAUGCCCUGGCAGUCAGAGGCGAUGAAGGACGUGCUAAUCUGCGAUAAGCGUCGGUAAGGUGAUAUGAACCGUUAUAACCGGCGAUUUCCGAAUGGGGAAACCCAGUGUGAUUCGUCACACUAUCAUUAACUGAAUCCAUAGGUUAAUGAGGCGAACCGGGGGAACUGAAACAUCUAAGUACCCCGAGGAAAAGAAAUCAACCGAGAUUCCCCCAGUAGCGGCGAGCGAACGGGGAGCAGCCCAGAGCCUGAAUCAGUGUGUGUGUUAGUGGAAGCGUCUGGAAAGGCGCGCGAUACAGGGUGACAGCCCCGUACACAAAAAUGCACAUACUGUGAGCUCGAUGAGUAGGGCGGGACACGUGGUAUCCUGUCUGAAUAUGGGGGGACCAUCCUCCAAGGCUAAAUACUCCUGACUGACCGAUAGUGAACCAGUACCGUGAGGGAAAGGCGAAAAGAACCCCGGCGAGGGGAGUGAAAAAGAACCUGAAACCGUGUACGUACAAGCAGUGGGAGCCUCUUUAUGGGGUGACUGCGUACCUUUUGUAUAAUGGGUCAGCGACUUAUAUUCUGUAGCAAGGUUAACCGAAUAGGGGAGCCGAAGGGAAACCGAGUCUUAACUGGGCGUUAAGUUGCAGGGUAUAGACCCGAAACCCGGUGAUCUAGCCAUGGGCAGGUUGAAGGUUGGGUAACACUAACUGGAGGACCGAACCGACUAAUGUUGAAAAAUUAGCGGAUGACUUGUGGCUGGGGGUGAAAGGCCAAUCAAACCGGGAGAUAGCUGGUUCUCCCCGAAAGCUAUUUAGGUAGCGCCUCGUGAAUUCAUCUCCGGGGGUAGAGCACUGUUUCGGCAAGGGGGUCAUCCCGACUUACCAACCCGAUGCAAACUGCGAAUACCGGAGAAUGUUAUCACGGGAGACACACGGCGGGUGCUAACGUCCGUCGUGAAGAGGGAAACAACCCAGACCGCCAGCUAAGGUCCCAAAGUCAUGGUUAAGUGGGAAACGAUGUGGGAAGGCCCAGACAGCCAGGAUGUUGGCUUAGAAGCAGCCAUCAUUUAAAGAAAGCGUAAUAGCUCACUGGUCGAGUCGGCCUGCGCGGAAGAUGUAACGGGGCUAAACCAUGCACCGAAGCUGCGGCAGCGACGCUUAUGCGUUGUUGGGUAGGGGAGCGUUCUGUAAGCCUGCGAAGGUGUACUGUGAGGUAUGCUGGAGGUAUCAGAAGUGCGAAUGCUGACAUAAGUAACGAUAAAGCGGGUGAAAAGCCCGCUCGCCGGAAGACCAAGGGUUCCUGUCCAACGUUAAUCGGGGCAGGGUGAGUCGACCCCUAAGGCGAGGCCGAAAGGCGUAGUCGAUGGGAAACAGGUUAAUAUUCCUGUACUUGGUGUUACUGCGAAGGGGGGACGGAGAAGGCUAUGUUGGCCGGGCGACGGUUGUCCCGGUUUAAGCGUGUAGGCUGGUUUUCCAGGCAAAUCCGGAAAAUCAAGGCUGAGGCGUGAUGACGAGGCACUACGGUGCUGAAGCAACAAAUGCCCUGCUUCCAGGAAAAGCCUCUAAGCAUCAGGUAACAUCAAAUCGUACCCCAAACCGACACAGGUGGUCAGGUAGAGAAUACCAAGGCGCUUGAGAGAACUCGGGUGAAGGAACUAGGCAAAAUGGUGCCGUAACUUCGGGAGAAGGCACGCUGAUAUGUAGGUGAAGCGACUUGCUCGUGGAGCUGAAAUCAGUCGAAGAUACCAGCUGGCUGCAACUGUUUAUUAAAAACACAGCACUGUGCAAACACGAAAGUGGACGUAUACGGUGUGACGCCUGCCCGGUGCCGGAAGGUUAAUUGAUGGGGUUAGCGGUAACGCGAAGCUCUUGAUCGAAGCCCCGGUAAACGGCGGCCGUAACUAUAACGGUCCUAAGGUAGCGAAAUUCCUUGUCGGGUAAGUUCCGACCUGCACGAAUGGCGUAAUGAUGGCCAGGCUGUCUCCACCCGAGACUCAGUGAAAUUGAACUCGCUGUGAAGAUGCAGUGUACCCGCGGCAAGACGGAAAGACCCCGUGAACCUUUACUAUAGCUUGACACUGAACAUUGAGCCUUGAUGUGUAGGAUAGGUGGGAGGCUUUGAAGUGUGGACGCCAGUCUGCAUGGAGCCGACCUUGAAAUACCACCCUUUAAUGUUUGAUGUUCUAACGUUGGCCCCUAAUCGGGGUUGCGGACAGUGUCUGGUGGGUAGUUUGACUGGGGCGGUCUCCUCCUAAAGAGUAACGGAGGAGCACGAAGGUUGGCUAAUCCUGGUCGGACAUCAGGAGGUUAGUGCAAUGGCAUAAGCCAGCUUGACUGCGAGCGUGACGGCGCGAGCAGGUGCGAAAGCAGGUCAUAGUGAUCCGGUGGUUCUGAAUGGAAGGGCCAUCGCUCAACGGAUAAAAGGUACUCCGGGGAUAACAGGCUGAUACCGCCCAAGAGUUCAUAUCGACGGCGGUGUUUGGCACCUCGAUGUCGGCUCAUCACAUCCUGGGGCUGAAGUAGGUCCCAAGGGUAUGGCUGUUCGCCAUUUAAAGUGGUACGCGAGCUGGGUUUAGAACGUCGUGAGACAGUUCGGUCCCUAUCUGCCGUGGGCGCUGGAGAACUGAGGGGGGCUGCUCCUAGUACGAGAGGACCGGAGUGGACGCAUCACUGGUGUUCGGGUUGUCAUGCCAAUGGCACUGCCCGGUAGCUAAAUGCGGAAGAGAUAAGUGCUGAAAGCAUCUAAGCACGAAACUUGCCCCGAGAUGAGUUCUCCCUGACUCCCUGAGAGUCCUGAAGGAACGUUGAAGACGACGACGUUGAUAGGCCGGGUGUGUAAGCGCAGCGAUGCGUUGAGCUAACCGGUACUAAUGAACCGUGAGGCUUAACCUU
rnacentral:rRNA from 1 species